CAGGCGAGGAGGCGGCGCUGUGGCUUCCUGCGAGCUUCGGGGCGUGGCGGAGGUCCACGACGGAGUCAGAUCCGGCCGCGGCAAAGUCCUCCGCCGGCUGGGAAAUAGCUAGAGGCCGAGCAGUGAGGAACGAGUAUUAGUAGUACUUGCCUGUUAUUUAUUUUACCAAUGCAUCUCGGAUCUAUUAUUAUAAGUAGCACUUGUCCUUUUAUCACUGCAUCUCGGAUCUAGUAAUAGGAUUUGCAGUACUUCCUACAAGAUCGUCUCUUAUGAUGAGCUUGUUCACGAUUCGGCCACUGCAACUUUGAAUUCUGAAAUGACUACCGGUUAGUGGUUGGGCGGAAAAUGCGUGGUAAUGAUGCUUCUGUCGACAUCUAGUUACUUAUAUCAAAUAAUAAGUUUUCUAGACUGAAUCCAAAGGCACACUGUCAUGCUGGUUUUCAGUUCACACUGCAUAAUGUAACUCUUAUAAGCUGCAUUUAGUAACUAUGAUGAUUUAUGUCAAUUUGUUACUAUUUCCUACCUGGGAAUUUAUGGUACAUUUUCUUCUCCUUAAGAAGCAGAUAAGGUAAAUUUGCACUUAGCAACAUUUGAGACUCUGUUAAUUAAGACUCUGUUUCACAGCAAUAGUUCUAUAUCCCAGCACUGAUUUCAAACAUUUUCUACCAUCCUAUUGUCAUGGUUACUUUGUCUAACUUGUGUUGAUUUGUGCAAUGCAGGUGAUUGUUGAGAAUGCUGAGUUAGUUAUCAACUUCUCUAAGUUACCAUAACUGCUAUACUUUUUACAAUGACUAUCCACAUCUUUAAUUGUUUAUGGGUAAUUCUAGUAGGGUUUCUACCCUUUCUUUCCCCUGAUGACUGAUGGCAGUUGGUGCCAUAAUUUGGCUACCCCAAGACAAAUAUAUAACACUAUAUUCAAUUGUCUCACUCAUUAUCAUUACAGAAAGUGCUCACUGCUCUCAUCUCAAUAUUUUUACACAUCUCCAUAUACUUUUGUGUGUUCACUGUUUUUUAUUUAACAAUUAGGCAGUAACACAUCUCCAUAUACUUAUUGCAAGAUUAUUUCAAAUUGCAGAAGCUAAACUGAGCAUUAUGAAUGUGUAUGCUGAUUCCUAAUGAUAUAUAUCAAGAAAAUGCCUUUCAAACCCUCCUAAUUGUGAGAGGGACAUGAUGGUUUAAGUGCAACUUGGAGUAGCAAGUGAGCUCAUAUGCAUUGGUGAAGGAUCUUUUUACGUUUGUGUUAAGUAGAUCAAGUCCUGUUAGAUUGAUUCAAUAGUUUUCAACUGAGUUGAUUGUAACUUGCUACUGGAAUAUCUAUGAAUAUUUCUGCUCAUUAAAAUUACUGCAUAUCAGCAGCAAUGUAUUUUUUAUGUGCCAUAUGUUGUUCCUAUAAUAUUAUUGGAAGAAUAAUGAUAUGUUGCCGGUCA